UUGGAGGGCAAGUCUGGUGCCAGCAGCCGCGGUAAUUCCAGCUCCAAUAGCGUAUAUUAAAGUUGUUGCAGUUAAAAAGCUCGUAGUUGAAUUUCGGGGUUAGUAGGUUGGUCAUGCCACUGGUAUGUACUGGUCUCACUGAUUCCUCCUUCCUGAUGAGACGUAAUGCCAUUAAUUUGGUGUUGCGAGGAAUCUGGACUGUUACUUUGAAAAAAUUAGAGUGUUUAAAGCAAGCUAACGCUUGAAUACAUUAGCAUGGAAUAAUGAAAUAGGACGUUUGAUUCUAUUUUGUUGGUUUCUAGGAUUGACGUAAUGAUUAAUAGGGAUAGUUGGGGGCAUUAGUAUUCAAUUGUCAGAGGUGAAAUUCUUGGAUUUAUUGAAGACUAACUACUGCGAAAGCAUUUGCCAAGGAUGUUUUCAUUAAUCAAGAACGAAAGUUAGGGGAUCGAAGACGAUCAGAUACCGUCGUAGUCUUAACCAUAAACUAUGCCGACUAGGGAUCGGAUGAUGUUAAUUUUUUAAUGACUCAUUCGGCGCCUUACGGGAAACCAAAGUGUUUGGGUUC
rnacentral:rRNA from 1 species